UCUAACAAUUUGGAUACUUGUUUCUUCAUGAAUUAUGCUUCAGUUAUAUCCUUAGUUUGCCUAAUCCCUGAGUAACUUGAAGAACUAAUAAUAAAAUUUGAUUUGUGCAUGUUAUUAAAACCUUUUACAUCAUCUGUUACUUAGAAUCCUUGCUUCAUGAAUCCUUGUUUCAAUAAAUGAAUCCUUGCUUCAUGAAUCAUUUCUUUAGUAAAUGAAUCCUGCAUGUUAGGAAAUGUAAUAUAUUUUCUAAAAUAUAUGGUUCUCUAAUUUUAUUUCACUUUGAAUUCUACCUAUUGGUUCUCCAUGCUUUACCUAUUUCAUGAUAAAACAAAUUUCAAUUUAUCAUAAUGAAAUUCUCAAAACUUGCAUUUAUUAUUCGUUUACUUCACUUGAUGUGUCUAGGAAAGGUGUGAAAAAAUAAAGCUGCCAGAAAGCACAAGAUAAUGCAUCAAACCACUGGAUGGACAUCUUUUGCUCAAGUGCAGCACAAAUUGGAAAAAGAAAAGGGACACCCUCCAUCAUGAGUUGAAUUAGUCCAGGCUUGCUUUACUCAUACUAAUGGAAGUCCCUCAAGUAAUUUUGUAGCAGAAAGAUUGGUGAUUGGGACUUGGAUUUUUGUGAAGCAAUAUGACAGUUGGAGAUGGUUUGCCGAGUUGAGUUUUUAUUUUAUAAGACUUUGUUAGUUCUAAAACUUAAUAUUUUGAGUGUAGUGUGUUGUUAGUUUUGGAUGUAAAGAACUCGUCGUUAGUUUGCAUUUGUAACUUUGACUCAAAUAUUUGUUGGAUGAAUUUAGAUUA